rnacentral:rRNA from 1 species
CCUACGGGGGGCAGCAGUGGGGAAUAUUGGACAAUGGGGGCAACCCUGAUCCAGCCAUGCCGCGUGUGUGAAGAAGGCCCUCGGGUUGUAAAGCACUUUCAGUGAGGAAGAACGCCUGGUGGUUAAUACCCAUCAGGAAAGACAUCACUCACAGAAGAAGCACCGGCUAACUCCGUGCCAGCAGCCGCGGUAAUACGGAGGGUGCGAGCGUUAAUCGGAAUUACUGGGCGUAAAGCGCGCGUAGGUGGCUUGAUAAGCCGGUUGUGAAAGCCCCGGGCUCAACCUGGGAACGGCAUCCGGAACUGUCAAGCUAGAGUGCAGGAGAGGAAGGUAGAAUUCCCGGUGUAGCGGUGAAAUGCGUAGAGAUCGGGAGGAAUACCAGUGGCGAAGGCGGCCUUCUGGACUGACACUGACACUGAGGUGCGAAAGCGUGGGUAGCAAACAGGAUUAGAUACCCCUGGUAGUC